UUAUCUACAGUCUAUGACCCCAGAGUCAUUAGUAUGUGAUGUGUGAAACAAGUUAGGAGGGCAGUGUGCCUUACAAGAGUUGUUUAAAAAAAAAGAGUUUGCAAUUAAGAAACAUGACAGCACAUAGCAAUGGAGCUUUAUGAGCUAAAUAUGAGAUUUAACAAACAAACAUUUAUUAUUAUGAUAAAUUCAAUAUUGUUUUUUUAUGUUUUUUUUAAGAAUAAGAAAAAGUGACCAGGCUUAUUGUUGAAACGCACACAGAGACAGUAUCACCACAGUGGCAGCUUAUCUUCUCGGUUUUCCUUCAUUUCCCUCAUUUCCCCCACAAUCAGGAGACCGUGAACCGAGACAGACACGCCUUCAUCGCUGCUUUUAACCCUCUUCUCCGUCCCCAUGGUAACCCUUGACCAGGAGCAAGGAGCAGCCCUGCUCCUCACCCCUGUAUUGCUAUAAGGGAUUGCUCAUCAAACAGGCAGCUAAAUUCUUUACCUGCUCCCUGAGGCAUUUCAGGAUUAGUUUACACACAAGUCAUCAGCCAGCAUGUUCUAAAUUAACCAGGACCUUCUCCUGCUGUCAAAUGCCCCGAGUGAAUAUUUUAUCAGGGCUACGACUCUACACAUCAUAAUGUCAGGUCACAGGAGCCAAAGGAAAGGUUUACUUGGAGGGGAUGGGAAGAUAAGGCCAUGAAGGAUUUGACCUUUACUGAUGAGUGUAAUUUGUUUGUAUGGGAAAAUGAGAGCAGGAGCUUGCCUGAAGUGGUGUACCUCAAGUGUUCUUCUCCAAGGAGACACAGUAUUUCUACAUAUGCAUUAAUUUGCAACCCUCUUACAUAAUGAGGGAUGAUGGAGGAUUAAUUUUAAAAUGCAUCUUCAAACCAAGUUACAUUUAAUUCCAAAUGUUUCUCAUGUGUUAUGUAAAAAGAGCACAUUUAUGUGAUCACCCUGCCGUCGUACGCAGCUAUUACACGGCUCUCAACAGCAAGCAACCGAUUCACUACUGUGCAAAAAUAAAAUGUAAGCACUUUGAGUGUUUUAGAUUUCUAUCCAACAUCAAAUACCUGUCAGACACCCCUGCAGCUCUGCAGCAACAACUCUAAACAUGCAGCGAUAUUUAUUUUAUUUAUUAAUUUUUUAAAACUCUUCAAAUGGCAAAAACAACAAAGAGUCCUGGAACAUCUGGUAUGACACCCGUAAAACACUGAUCUCUACAUGAUAGAGUCGAUGUGGGAUUACGUGAAGAAACAGAAAACACUGAGACAGCCUAAAUCAACCGAAGAACGAUGCUACCUGCCAACCACCUUGAAAAACUAUGCAA